UACGUAGGGGGCAAGCGUUAUCCAGAUUUACUGGGCGUAAAGAGCGUGUAGGCGGUUCGGUAGGUCCGUUGUGAAAACUCGAGGCUCAACCUCGAGACGCCGAUGGAAACCAUCGAACUAGAGUCCGGAAGAGGAGAGUGGAAUUCCUGGUGUAGCGGUGAAAUGCGCAGAUAUCAGGAAGAACACCCGUGGCUAAGGCGGCUCUCUAGUACGGUACUGACGCUGAGACGCGAAAGCGUGGGGAGCGAACAGG
rnacentral:rRNA from 1 species